rnacentral:rRNA from 1 species
UACGUAGGGUGCGAGCGUUGUCCGGAAUUAUUGGGCGUAAAGGGCUCGUAGGCGGUCUGUUGCGUCGGGAGUGAAAACUCAGGGCUUAACCCUGAGCCUGCUUCCGAUACGGGCAGACUAGAGGUAUGCAGGGGAGACUGGAAUUCCUGGUGUAGCGGUGAAAUGCGCAGAUAUCAGGAGGAACACCGGUGGCGAAGGCGGGUCUCUGGGCAGUAACUGACGCUGAGGAGCGAAAGCGUGGGGAGCGAACAGG